GAUGAAGAACGCAGCGAAAUGCGAUACUUGGUGUGAAUUGCAGAAUCCCGUGAACCAUCGAGUCUUUGAACGCAAGUUGCGCCCGAAGCCAUUAGGCCGAGGGCACGCCUGCCUGGGCGUCACACGUCGUUGCCCCCCCCAUCUACUCCUUCGGGAUUGCGGGGGGCGGAUGAUGGCCUCCCGUGCGCCUCGCCGCGCGGUUGGCAUAAAUGCCAAGUCCUCGGCGACGCACGCCACGACAAUCGGUGGUUGCGAAACCUCGGUUGCCCGUCGUGUGCGGUCGUCGCGCAUCGAGGGCUCGAAAAAAUUGCCGAGUUCCGGCUCGGCUUUCAACGCGACCCCAGGUCAGGCGGGGUUACCCGCUGAAUUUAAGCAUAUCAAUAAGCGGAGUA
rnacentral:misc_RNA from 1 species